UACGUAGGGAGCAAGCGUUGUCCGGAAUCAUUGGGCGUAAAGCGCGCGUAGGUGGCCAUGUAAGUCCGCUGUGAAAGUCAAAGGCUCAACCUUUGAAAGCCGGUGGAUACUGCAUGGCUAGAGUACGGAAGAGGCGAGUGGAAUUCCUGGUGUAGCGGUGGAAUGCGCAGAUAUCAGGAGGAACACCAAUAGCGAAGGCAGCUCGCUGGGACGUUACUGACACUGAGGAGCGAAAGCGUGGGGAGCGAACAGG
rnacentral:rRNA from 1 species